rnacentral:tRNA from 1 species
GCCGGGAUCGCCUAGCCAGGUAUGGCGUCGGAUUGCUAAGCCACAAGAUUCCAGGGCCGCGAUGAUCCGAUGGGCCUUAGGCCCACGUGGGUUCAAAUCCCACUCCCGGCG